GAUGAAGAACGUAGCGAAAUGGGAUAAGUAAUGUGAAUUGCAGAAUUCAGUGAAUCAUCGAAUCUUUGAACGCACAUUGCGCCCGCCAGUAUUCUGGCGGGCAUGCCUGUUCGAGCGUCAUUUCAACCAUCAAGCCCCCGGCUUGUGUUGGGGACCUGCGGCUGCCGCAGGCCCUGAAAACCAGUGGCGGGCUCGCUAGUCACUCCGAGCGUAGUAAUACAUCUCGCUCAGGGCGUGCUGCGGGUUCCGGCCGUUAAAAAGCCUUAUUUACCCAAGGUUGACCUCGGAUCAGGUAGGAAGACCCGCUGAACUUAAGCAUAUCAAUAAGCGGAGGA
rnacentral:misc_RNA from 1 species